rnacentral:rRNA from 1 species
UACGUAGGGUGCGAGCGUUAAUCGGAAUUACUGGGCGUAAAGUGUGCGCAGGCGGUUUCGCAAGUCAAGUGUGAGAGCCCCGGGCUUAACCUGGGAACUGCGCUUGAAACUACGGAACUCGAGUAUGGCAGAGGAAGGUGGAAUUCCACGUGUAGCGGUGAAAUGCGUAGAGAUGUGGAGGAACACCGCUGGCGAAGGCAGCCUUCUGGGCCAAUACUGACGCUCAUGCACGAAAGCGUGGGGAGCAAACAGG